AUUGAACGCUGGCGGCAUGCCUUACACAUGCAAGUCGAACGGCAGCACGGGUGCUUGCACCUGGUGGCGAGUGGCGAACGGGUGAGUAAUACAUCGGAACAUGUCCUGUAGUGGGGGAUAGCCCGGCGAAAGCCGGAUUAAUACCGCAUACGAUCUACGGAUGAAAGCGGGGGACCUUCGGGCCUCGCGCUUUAGGGUUGGCCGAUGGCUGAUUAGCUAGUUGGUGGGGUAAAGGCCUACCAAGGCGACGAUCAGUAGCUGGUCUGAGAGGACGACCAGCCACACUGGGACUGAGACACGGCCCAGACUCCUACGGGAGGCAGCAGUGGGGAAUUUUGGACAAUGGGCGAAAGCCUGAUCCAGCAAUGCCGCAGGUGUGAAGAAGGCCGUCGGGUUGUAAAGCACUUUUGUCCGGAAAGAAAUCCUUGGCCCUAAUACGGUCGGGGGGAUGACGGUACCGGAAGAAUAAGCACCGGCUAACUACGUG
rnacentral:rRNA from 1 species